rnacentral:rRNA from 1 species
UACAGAGGGUACAAGCGUUGUUCGGAAUUAUUGGGCGUAAAGGGAGUGUAGGCGGUUUCCUAAGUCUUCUGUGAAAUCUACGGGCUUAGCCUGUAACGUGCAGAGGAAACUGGGAGACUUGAGUGUCGGAGAGGAUAGGGGAAUACCCGGUGUAGAGGUGAAAUUCGUAGAGAUCGGGUGGAACACCAGUGGCGAAGGCGCCUGUCUGGCUGACAACUGACGCUGAGACUCGAAAGCAUGGGGAGCAAACAGG